GCCUGCCUAGCUCAAUCGGAUAGAGCGUCAGACUCUUAAGGCGGGCUCACAUCCUGAGACAAUCUGAAGGCUGCCGGUUCGACCCCGGCGGUGGGCU